AUUUUUAUAGUGUAUUUAAACACUUAACAUUUUCAUUGUUAAAAAGCUACAAGCUAAAAAUA
rnacentral:tRNA from 1 species